ACACAUGCAGUCGAGCGCGCCCUUCGGGGUGAGCGGCGGACGGGUUAGUAACGCGUGGGAAUAUGCCCAGAUCUAAGGAAUAGCCACUGGAAACGGUGAGUAAUACCUUAUACGCCCUUCGGGGGAAAGAUUUAUCGGAUUUGGAUUAGCCCGCGUUAGAUUAGGUAGUUGGUGGGGUAAUGGCCUACCAAGCCUACGAUCUAUAGCUGGUUUUAGAGGAUGAUCAGCAACACUGGGACUGAGACACGGCCCAGACUCCUACGGGAGGCAGCAGUGGGGAAUCUUGGACAAUGGGCGCAAGCCUGAUCCAGCCAUGCCGCGUGAGUGAUGAAGGCCUUAGGGUCGUAAAGCUCUUUCGCCAGGGAUGAUAAUGACAGUACCUGGUAAAGAAACCCCGGCUAACUCCGUGCCAGCAGCCGCGGUAAUACGGAGGGGGUUAGCGUUGUUCGGAAUUACUGGGCGUAAAGCGCGCGUAGGCGGGUUGUUAAGUUAGAGGUGAAAUCCCGGGGCUCAACCCCGGAACUGCCUUUAAUACUGGCAACCUAGAGUUCGAGAGAGGUGAGUGGAAUUCCGAGUGUAGAGGUGAAAUUCGUAGAUAUUCGGAGGAACACCAGUGGCGAAGGCGGCUCACUGGCUCGAUACUGACGCUGAGGUGCGAAAGUGUGGGGAGCAAACAGGAUUAGAUACCCUGGUAGUCCACACCGUAAACGAUGAAUGCCAGUCGUCGGGUAGCAUGCUAUUCGGUGACACA
rnacentral:rRNA from 1 species